GAUGGAAGAGGAAGGUGAUCAGCUUGCUUGUAUCGUUUAUGACAACGUCAUGUUCUUUGUCGAUGAUGUAGCGACUCAGUUGAAGCUUCCCAGCAUUGUCCUGCGCACUUUCAGCGCUGCGUAUUUGCACUCUAUGAUCACCAUUUUACAGCAACCUGAAAUAUAUUUACCUUUUGAAGGUAUAUGAGAACAAGUACACAUCCUCUGCUUCAAUAUCUAAAUGAAAAAAAAUGAAAGUAGAAUAAGUUGUUAUUUUUACAGUUUCAGUAAAAUAUUUCGGUACAUUUUUUCCUUGCAUUGAUUACUCACUACAAUUUUCAGAUUCUCAGCUGCUGGAUCCGUUACCGGAGCUUCAUCCCUUGAGAUUUAAGGAUGUACCGUUUCCUAUCAUCAAUAAUACAGUUCCAGAACCGAUACUAGACUUCUGUAGAGCAAUGAGUGAUAUAGGAUCAUCUGUCGCGACUAUAUGGAACACGAUGCAAGACUUGGAGAGUUCAAUGUUGUUACGCCUUCAAGAACAUUACAAGGUGCCCUUUUUUCCAAUAGGCCCGGUACACAAAAUGGCAUCUUUGGUCUCAUCGACUAGCAUACUAGAAGAAGACAAUAGCUGCAUCGAGUGGCUCGAUAGACAAGCCCCUAACUCUGUUCUCUAUGUCAGCUUGGGUAGCCUAGUGAGGAUUGAUCACAAAGAGUUGAUUGAGACUGCUUGGGGAUUAGCUAAUAGCGAUCAACCGUUCUUGUGGGUUAUUCGACCUGGCUCUGUCUCUGGCUUUCAAUGUGCUGAGGCACUGCCUGAUGGUUUUGAGAAAAUGGUAGGAGAAAGAGGACGAAUAGUGAAAUGGGCACCACAAAAACAGGUGCUUGCACAUCCCGCGGUAGCAGGGUUUUUCACUCAUUGUGGUUGGAAUUCUACGCUUGAAAGUAUAUGUGAAGAAGUCCCUAUGGUGUGCAGGCCAUUUCUAGCAGACCAACUGGUGAACGCAAGGUAUCUGAGCCAAAUAUACAAGGUUGGGUUCGAAUUGGAGGUUAUCGAGAGAACGGUCAUAGAGAAAACAAUAAGAAAACUCAUGUUAAGUGAAGAAGGCAAAGAUGUGAAGAAAAGAGUAGCAGACAUGAAACAAAAGAUAGUUGCUGGAAUGCAGAUUGAUUGCACUUCACAUAAGAAUCUGAAUGAUUUGGUAGACUUCAUUUCUGCCUUGCCAUCACGACUCGCUCCGCCAACGCCUGUCUUUGGGGCAAUCAUGAGCUCAAACCACAUAGCAAGCAAGUGUAUCAUAGAGUCUUGAAGUUAUUUUUGAGCUCAAACCAUAUUUCUGUGGCCCCUUAGCUUGGCAAGACAAUAAGUCCUUAAUCACAAAAGGAAGAAUAAGAUAAGAAGUGAACUUUUCAUAAAUCCAUGGUGCAAAUGCUGAAGCAAUUUACUUUAGUUUGUUGAUUGGUUUAUAAGUUGGGAACCUUGACAUAUUGUUUUCUAGUUGGUAGGAAAAUAUUUUCGUGGAAAAUAAAUGAUUUUCAAACUUAUUUUUUAGUUUUUGAUUAGUAAAGAAUAUUAUUGUCCCAAGAGUAUCUAUGUACACCUAGAUCUGGAACCACCCUAUAACAUAAACACGGACUUGACUCGACCUGACCUUACCCCAACACUGACCUAAGACAAAACCCUGACCUCAACACCGACUCAAAACUUGAUCCUCGACCAGACUAUGACCUAACCUUAACCUAGGAUCUGACAACUGACCCCAUGUCACGAACUGCAAUCCGAAGUUAACUCUGGACCUAACCUCAACCUAGAUCCAUGACCCCGUCCAGAGACCUCAACCACAAACUCCUGACCCCAAUCCCGGGUCCCAACUUGACCCAAGAGUAUAGGAAAAAUGCACAAGUACCCCCUCAACCUAUGCCCGAAAUCACAAAGCCACACUUAUACUAUACUAAGGUCCUAUUACUCCCUGAACUUAUUAAGUAAUUUUUUACCCCUUUUUGGCCUACGUGGCACUAGUUUGAAAAAAAUGUCAACCAGCGUUGGGCCCACAAGAUAGUCUCAUGUAGGCCGAAAAGGAGUAGAAAAUUGUUAACAAAAUAAGUUCUGCGGGGUAAUAGGACCUUAGUUUAGUUUAAGUAUGUCUCUGAGAUUUCGGGCAUAGGUUGGGGGUACUUGUGCAUUAUCCCAAUAUUGAUUUUGUUUUCAACUCAUUUGAUACUAGAUAUUUAUAUGGACAUUCGAUUAUGAGUGACUUCAUAAGUGAGUAACUGUUAAAAUAAAAAUCAAAAUUGUGUGACAUUGUAAGUAAAAUACUCAUAGUUGAGUAACCUUUGGAAUGAAAUUCAAAGUUGAGUAGCUUUCUGAGAUAAAAUGAAGUUUUUACCUUAAUAAUACAAAGGUAAAACAAAUUAAAUUAAGUAGUACAAAAAUUGUAAAUAAAGUUUUUACCUUAAUAAUACAAAGGUAAACCAAGUCAAACUAACCAAUACAAAAUUUGUAAAUGAAGUUUUGACCUUAAUAAUACAAAGGUAAAGCAAGUCAAACUAACCAAUACAAAAUUUGUAAAUGAAGUUUUGACCUUAAUAAUACAAAGGUAAAGCAAGUCAAACUAACCAAUACAAAAUUUGUAAAUGACGUUUUGAUCUUUAAUAAUACAAAGGUAAACCAAGUCAAACUAACCAAUACAAAAUUUGUAAAUAAAGUUUUUACCUUAAUAAUACAAAGGUAAACCAAGUCAAACUAACCAAUACAAAAUUUGCAAAUGAAGCUUUGACCAUUAAUAAUACAAAGGUAAACCAAGUCAAACUAACCAAUACAAAAUUUGUAAAUGAAGUUUUGACCUUAAUAAUACAAAGGUAAAGCAAGUCAAACUAACCAAUACAAAAUUUGUAAAUGACGUUUUGAUCUUUAAUAAUACAAAGGUAAACCAAGUCAAACUAACCAAUACAAAAUUUGUAAAUAAAGUUUUUACCUUAAUAAUACAAAGGUAAACCAAGUCAAACUAACCAAUACAAAAUUUGCAAAUGAAGUUUUGACCAUUAAUAAUACAAAGGUAAACCAAGUCAAACUAACCAAUACAAAAUUUGUAAAUGAAGUUUUGACCUUAAUAAUACAAAGGUAAAGCAAGUCAAACUAACCAAUACAAAAUUUGUAAAUGACGUUUUGAUCUUUAAUAAUACAAAGGUAAACCAAGUCAAACUAACCAAUACAAAAUUUGUAAAUAAAGUUUUUACCUUAAUAAUACAAAGGUAAACCAAGUCAAACUAACCAAUACAAAAUUUGCAAAUGAAGUUUUGACCAUUAAUAAUACAAAGGUAAACCAAGUCAAACUAACCAAUACAAAAUUUGUAAAUGAAGUUUUUACCUUAAUAAUACAAAGGUAAACCAAGUCAAACUAACCAAUACAAAAUUUGUAAAUGAAGAUUUGAACUUAAUAAUACAAAGGUAAAACAAAUUAAAUUAACUAGUACAAAAUUAACAAUACUUAUAUAUAUAAACUUCCUUCAAAAACACAAUUACUGAACUCUUGAAUAGAAGAGAAACUCAAUAAAACAAAGAUGAAAACUCAAAGAAAACAGAGUGUAGUACUAGUACCACUUCCAUGCCAGGGGCAUUUAACACCAAUGCUGCAGCUUGGAAGUAUCCUUCAUUCUCAAGGCUUUUCUGUUAUAAUAGCUCAUCCUGAAUUCAAUACUCCUAAAUAUUCCAAUCAUCCUGAAUUCGUCUUCCAUUCUAUGGAUGACGUAUUAAAGGGAAUCAACAUAUCAUCACCGAGUCUAGAGAACAUAUAUCAUUUGAAUGAGAACUGCAAGGUGCCUCUCAGAAACUACCUUGUUAAGAAGAUGAAAGAGGAAGGUGAUCAGCUUGCUUGUAUCGUUUAUGAUAAUGUCAUGAUUUUCGUUGAUGAUGUAGCCACUCAGUUAAGGCUUCCCAGCAUUGUCCUGCACACUUCCAGUGCUGCAUAUCUGCACUCCAUGAUCACCAUUUUUCAGCAACCAGAAAAAUAUUUUCCUUUCGAAGGUAUGAGAACAAACACAUCCUCUGAUUCAAGAAUUUAAUGAAAAAUCAUUUCGAUAACAAUAACUAUGCUUCAGUCACAAAGUUCCCUCGUUACAUUCAUCACAAGCCAACAUUAUAGAAAAUAAAAAUAAAAAUAAAAAUGAAAGGCACCCUUUACUUGUCGUCCUUACAAAAAAUAGAUAGUCCAAGAUAAUUGUCACUUCAGAAAACCAAGAUAUAAUUAACUAAUAGUUUUCGCUUUUAUCUUUACUCAAUAAAUGUGGAAAGAAAUUAAUGUGGUGGAAAAGAUAGUAGUAUUAAAUUGAGAUCAAAUUACACUUUUAGUUAUUGUUUUCUUAUGGGACGUGCAAAAAAAAUGACAAGUAAAAUGGAACAAAGUGAGUGCAGCAAGUAUAAUUCAGCCUAUAAUAUUUUUCUUCCAUUAUGUUGUAUCAGUUCGCUUAAGUUUGUAUUAAUUACUCACUACGAUUCCAGAUUCUCAGUUGUUGGAUCCGUUACCAGAGCUUCAUCCCUUGAGGUUUAAGGAUGUACCAAUUCCUGCUGUUAAUAAUACAGUUGCAGAACCGGUACUAGACUUCUUUAAAGCAAUCAACAAUAUAGGGUCAUCUGUUGCGACUAUUUGGAAUACGAUGCAAGACAUGGAGUAUCCAAUAUUGUUACGCCUUCAAGAACAUAACAAGGUGCCCUUCUAUGCAAUAGGCCCUUUUCACAAAAUGGCGCCUAUGGCCUCAUCGACUAGCAUACUAGAAGAAGAUAAUAGCUGCAUCAUGUGGCUCGACAGACAAGUUCCUAACUCUGUUCUUUAUGUCAGCAUAGGUAGCCAAAUGAGGAUUAAUGACAAAGAGCUAACUGAGACUGCUUGGGGAUUAGCUAAUAGUGAUCAACCAUUCUUGUGGGUUAUUCGACCGGGCUCUGUCUCUGGCUUUCAAUGUGCUGAGGCACUGCCUGAUGGUUUUGAGAAAAUGGUAGGAGAAAGAGGACGAAUAGUGAAAUGGGUGCCACAAAAACAGGUGCUUGCACAUCCCGCGGUAGCAGGGUUUUUCACUCAUUGUGGUUGGAGUUCUACGCUUGAAAGUAUAUGUGAAGAAGUCCCUAUGAUAUGCAGGCCAUUUCUAGCAGACCAACUGGUGAACGCUAGGUAUCUGAGCCAAAUAUACAAGGUUGGAUUCGAAUUGGAGGCUAUCGAGAGAACGGUCAUAGAGAAAACAAUAAGAAAACUCAUGUUAAGUGAAGAAGGCAAAGAUGUGAAGAAAAGAGUAGUAGACAUGAAACAAAAGAUAGUUGCUGGAAUGCAGAUUGAUGGCACUUCACAAAAGAAUCUGAAUGAUUUGGUAGACUUCAUUUCUGCCUUGCCAUCACGGCUCCCUCCGCCAACACCUGUUGUUGGGGCAUUCGAUACAUCAAGCAAGUAUAUCAGAGAGUCCUGAAGUUAGAAGAAAUACAUAUUUUUGUUGCCUGCUAUCUUAGCAAGACAAUAAGUCCUUAAUCACAAAAGGAAGAAUAAGAUAAGAAGUGAACUUUUCAUAAAUCCAUGGUGCAAAUGCUGAAGCAAUUUACUUUAGUUUGUUGAUUGGUUUAUAAGUUGGGAACCUUGACAUAUUGUUUCAUAGUUGGUAGGAAAAUAUUUUCGUGGAAAAUAAAUGAUUUUUCAUACUUAUUUUCUAGUUUUUGAUUAGUAAAGAAUAUUAUUGUCCCAAGAGUAUCUCUGUACACCUAGAUCUGGAACCACCCUAUAACAUAGACACGGACUUGACUCGACCCGACCUCACCCCAACACUGAUGUAAGACAAAACCCUGACCUCAAUACCGACUCAAAACUUGAUCCUCGACCAGACUCUGACCUAACCUUAACCUAGGAUCUGACAACUGACCCAUGCCACGAACUGCAAUCCGAAGUUAACUCUGGACCUAACCUCAACCUAGAUCCAUGACCCCGUCCAGAGACCUCAACCCUAACUCCUGACCCCAAUCCUGGGUCCCAACUUGACCCAAGAGUAUUGAUUGAUUUUGUUUUCAACUCAUCUGAUAUUCGAUAUUUAUAUGGACAUUCGAUUAUGAGUGACUUCAUAAGUGAGUAACUGUUGGAAUAAAAAUCAAAAUUAGGUGAUUUUAUAAGUAAAACACUCAUAGUUGAGUGACCUUUGGAAUAAAAUUCAACGUUGAGUAGCUUUGUGAGAUAAAAUGAAGUUCUGACAUUAAUAAUACUAAGGUAAAACAAAUUGUAUCAACUAGUACAAAAAAUUUGUAAAGGGAGUUUUGACCUUAAUACAAAGGUAAAACAAAUGAAAUUAAGUACUACAAAAAUUGUAAAUGAAGUUUUGACCUUAAUAAUACAAAGGUAAAGCAAAUCAAACUGACCAGUACAAAAUUUGUAAAUGAAGUUUUGACCUUAAUAAUACCAAAGUUAAAACAAAUUCAAUUAACUAGUACAAAAUUAACAAUACUUGUGUAUAUAAACUUCCUUCAAGAACACAAUUACUGAACUCUUGAAUAGAAGAGAAACUCAAGAAAAAAAAGAUGAAAAUUCAAAGAAAACAGAGUGUAGUACUAGUACCACUUCCAUUCCAGGGGCAUUUAACACCAAUGCUGCAGCUUGGAAGUAUCCUUUAUUCUCAAGGCUUUUCUGUUAUAAUAGCACAUCCUGAAUUGAAUACUCCUAAAUAUUCCAAUCAUCCUGAAUUCGUCUUCCAUUCUAUGGAUGAUGGAUUAAAGGGAAUCAACAUAUCAUUACCGAGUCUAGAGAACAUAUAUGAUUUGAAUGAGAACUGCAAGGUGCCUCUCAGAAACUACCUUGUUAAGAAGAUGAAAGAGGAAGGUGAUCAGCUUGCUUGUAUCGUUUAUGAUAAUGUCAUGAUUUUCGUUGAUGAUGUAGCCACUCAGUUAAGGCUUCCCAGCAUUGUCCUGCACACUUCCAGUGCUGCAUAUCUGCACUCCAUGAUCACCAUUUUUCAGCAACCAGAAAAAUAUUUUCCUUUCGAAGGUAUGAGAACAAACACAUCCUCUGCUUCAAGAUUUUAAUGAAAAAUCAUUUCGAUAACAAUAACUAUGCUUCAGUCACAAAGUUCCCUCAUUACAUUCAUCACAAACCAACAUUAUAGAAAAUAAAAAUAUAAAUAUAAAUGAAAGGCACCCUUUCCAGUCGAUGUUACUUGUCGUCCUUACAAAAAAUAGAUGGUCCAAGAUAAUUAUCACUUCAGAAAACCAAGAUAUAAUUAACUAAUAGUUUUCACUUUUAUCUUUUACUCAAUAAAUGUGAAAAGAAAUUAACGUGGUGGAAAAGAUAGUAGUAUUAAAUUGAGAUCAAAUAAUUAGGAUAAUUUGGUCAAAUUACACUUUUAGUUAUUGUUUUCUUAUGGGGCGUGCAAAAAAAAAAGACAAGUAAAAUGGAACAGAGUGAGUGCAGCUAGUAUAAUUCAGCCCAUAAUCUUUUUCUUCCAUUAUGUUGUAUCAGUUCGCUUAAGUUUGUAUUAAUUACUCACUACAAUUCCAGAUUCUCAGUUGUUGGAUCCGUUACCAGAGCUUUAUCCCUUGAGGUUUAAGGAUGUACCAAUUCCUGCUGUAUAUAAUACAGUUGCAGAACCGGUACUAGACUUCUUUAAAGCAAUCAACAAUAUAGGGUCAUCUGUUGCGACUAUUUGGAACACGAUGCAAGACAUGGAGAAUCCAAUAUUGUUACGCCUUCAAGAACAUUACAAGGUGCCCUUCUAUGCAAUAGGCCCUUUUCACAAAAUGGCGCCUACGGCCUCAUCGACUAGCAUACUACAAGAAGAUGAUAGCUGCAUCAAGUGGCUCGACAGACAAGUUCCUAACUCUGUUCUUUAUGUCAGCAUAGGUAGCCAAAUGAGGAUUAAUGACAAAGAGCUAACUGAGACUGCUUGGGGAUUAGCUAAUAGUGAUCAACCAUUCUUGUGGGUUAUUCGACCGGGCUCUGUCUCUGGCUUUCAAUGUGCUGAGGCACUGCCUGAUGGUUUUGAGAAAAUGGUAGGAGAAAGAGGACGAAUAGUGAAAUGGGCGCCACAAAAACAGAUACUUGCACAUCCCGCGGUAGCAGGGUUUUUCACUCAUUGUGGUUGGAAUUCUACGCUUGAAAGUAUAUGUGAAGAAGUCCCUAUGAUAUGCAGGCCAUUUCUAGCCGACCAGCCGGUGACAGCUAGGUAUCUGAGCCACAUGUACAAGGUUGGGUUCGAAUUGGAGGUUAUCGAGAGAACGGUCAUAGAGAAAACAGUAAGAAAGCUCAUGUUAAGUGACGAAGGCAAAGAUCUGAAGAAAAGAGUAGUAGACAUGAAACAAAAGAUAGUUGCUGGAAUGCAGAUUGAUGGUGCUUCACAUAAGAAUCUAAAUGAUUUGGUAGACUUCAUUUCUGCCUUGCCAUCACGGCUCCCUCCGCCAACACCUGUUGUUGGGGCAUUCGAUACAUCAAGCAAGUGUAUCAGAGAGUCCUGAAGUUAGAAGAAUUACAUAUUUUUGUUGCCUGCUAGCUUGGCAAGACAACAAGUCCUUUAAUCACAAAGGAAGAAUAAGACUAGAAUCACAAGACUUUCUUAUUUUGGUCUAUUGAUUUGCUUAAUAAGUUGGGAACUUUGACAUAUUGUUUCCUAAUUGUUAGAACUUAGAUAUAUUUACUCUUUGUUAUCCCUAUGUUAAAAAUAUAAUAUGUAGUAUUCAACGAGGGAACUAGUAAAACAAAGGUUGUGUUUGGUAUGAACGAAUAUGUUUUCCUAGAAACAGUUUUGUGGAAAAUAAAUGGUUUUAUUACUUAUUUCCUGGUGUUCGGUUAACAUAAAGAAAAUGUUGUCCCAUGAGUAUUAUGUAUAAUCUGGGAAAAUACUAUGACAUGGUCCCAGACUUGGAUUCCCACCCUUAACAUAGACCAGGACUUGACCCGAUCUCACCCCAGUCAGUCCAAUUAUGAUCAUGUGAAUACUAGUGAACGACUUUAUAUGCAGAAAUGAUAGGUGUUGGAGUGAGCACCAUGGAAUUUUCUGAAACAGGGUGGUUUACCUAGAGGGGAGGUAAUUAAUAGGGUGUUUAUUUGUCAAGGUUCAAUCACUUGAUCGUGCUGCUGCUAAUUAAAUACUGCAUCUUAAGUCUUCGGAAAGAAAUAAAGGCUCUUCUCCUUACUAUGAUAGAUUCCUCUAAAAUAUAUGAGUGUUUUACCAGGUUCAAGGGUGGAGGAGCAGUCAUAAAGUGCCGAAGAAGGCAAGAGUAAUGUCAUUUUGGCUAUGGUUUGGGAACACCUUGUUUCAUUUUUCUACAAGGUCUAACUUGAUAUUCCUUUUUCAUACUCACCAAAGAGUUUAAGUUCAAAUCACGGCACAUCUUUUUUCUAUUAAUUAAUGAUUUCUUGGUCUUCUAUGCGACUAGCCAAGUAGUCUGGUUAGUCGCAUUUGAUUGAGGGUUGAAUACACUCAUAUCAGGCUAAUCUAAACAAGAACCUGAGACUAAAGUAGGAUCACUAUCCAGCAUGUGAAAUUUCACCUAUUGGCAUCUAUGUGCUCCAUAUCUACCAAAUUUUAUUCGUAUACAGAAUUGAAAUCGAUUAAAUAAUGUGUUUAUUCUUUAAUACAUUAACAAGUAACUGCGAAUGUGAUUAAAAAUGUUAAGUCUAGAAGGCAGCCAGCCAUAAGGGAGGAUUUUUGUACCUGAAAAGCAGCAGAGGAUGGUGCUUGGGCUCGAGUAUCCGGAGCUAUAGUUGUCCUGCAAAUAUUUUGCAAUCUGGGAAUCAAUCUUUUAACUCAUUGCAUAUUAAAGAAGGACAAAAGUCUCAUAUCUUUGGUUAAUGAGAUGGGUGGACUCUUAUAAGGUUUCCUCCUCUUUCGAACUAACUUUUGGCAAACCUAAUUUAACAUUGCACCAUCUUCUCUCGGCUUCAUCCAUUUGUAAGAUUUUUUCUCUCUGUUUCCAUAUCCAGUUAGGAGCACAAGUGCUCUUUGAUUUUUUUUUUUUCUCUCAUCCAUUUUGUCGAGCACCUUCACUGCUUAUCAUUCUGAGUGAUCACCCUCAUCUUCUUCUCUCUUUUUUUCCAGAUUUUGGCAUGGCUUAUCAUUCUGAGUGAUCACCCUCAUCUUCUUCUCUCUUUUUUUCCAGAUUUUGGCAUGGCUAUGCUUUUAAGUAAUAAUCUAUAAACUCAUCUAAACAAGCUUUUAGUCAUUCGAGAGAAAGUUUCUUUUUUUGGAAAUAAAAAUAAAUUCAUUGAUGGAUUGACUAGUAACUUUCUUCGCAUUCACGCCAAGAAAGUUUCAGAGUAAAACAUAAAACACUCUCUAAUAAAGUUAAUUCGAUACACAAUAAGACUCGACCGAAAAUUUUACUUAAAAAUUAAAUAGUUAUACUCCACCAUAAUAAAAGAGAGUUAUGUACUUAUGAAUGAAGCGGAGGUUAUGAAAUAAGUAGUGAUGUAACUUUUAAAUGAAUAUGAAUUACAAGUCUCAACGUUACUUAACAAAGUUUCCAUAGUGAUCAUGUAAGAAAAUGCUAAGACCAUAGGGGGUGAUAACACACUCAUAGUUACAGAGAAGAAGGUAAGUAUUAUUUCAUAUAAAUCUGCAAGUAUAAAUCUUCCCAAUUAAAUGUAGAGAUGAAAGAAGGUUGAUUGAUAACUGGAUAAGUAACUAGGCAUGGAAGAAAUACUAGAACAAAAAACAUUUUAAAAAUAUGCACAUCAUAUAACUCAUAUGGUUUUCUUAAAAAAAAAAAAUACUUAACAUGAAAUAUACGUGCGUUGCACGUAUUCGAGAACUAGUUUCUUGAUAUAAGCGUCUCACACGUGAUAACGUAAUUAUUGGAUUUAGAAGACUUACAUAAUAUAAAGACAAACAGCACCAAUCUCAAGAUUGAGGGCUUUUACUCCUUUUUGGGAAUUGAGAACGGUGAGUUGUCCCAAUUCAUCACCACUUAUUCAAUAGCUGAGCUAAAGGUAACUACUUGAUUCACGUUAACCCAAGACUUCAAUGCUAGAUCUGCCCCUGUUAUACAUAAACUUCCUUCAAAGAAAACUACUACUAAAUUUUUGAAUAGAAGAGAAAACAAAGAUGAGAGUUGAAAGAAAACAGAGUGUAGUACUAGUACCAUUCCUACUCCAGGGGCAUUUAACACCAAUGCUACAGCUUGGAAGUCUACUUCAUUCACAGGGCUUUUCUGUUAUAGUUGCACAUACUCCACACAAUGCUCCUAAUUAUUCCAAUCAUCCUCAAUUCGUCUUCCAUUCUAUGGAUGACGCAUUACAGGGAAUCGACAUGUCAUUCCCGAGUUUAGUGCAUAUAAAUUGUAUGAACAAGAAUUGUAAGGAACCCCUGAGAAAUUACCUGGUUAGUAUGAUGGAAGAGGAAGGGGAUCAGCUAGCUUGUAUCAUUUAUGAUAACAUCAUGUUCUUCGUCGACGAUGUAGCGACUCAGCUGAGGCUUCCCAGCAUUGUCCUCCGCACUUACAGUGCUGCGUAUUUGCACUCUAUGAUCACCAUUUUACAGCGACCAGAAAAGUAUUUUCCUUUUGAAGGUAUGAAAGCAAUUACACCAUCCUAUGCUUCAAUAUUCGAUAAAUUUAUCGCAUUGAUUACUCACUUGCAAUUUCAGAUUCUCAGCUGCUGGAUCCGUUACCGGAGCUUCAUCCCUUGAGGUUUAAGGAUAUACCAAUUACUACUGUUAAUAAUACAGUUCAAGCACCGUUGCUAGAAUUCAGCAGAUCAAUGAGUGAUAUAGGAUCAUCUGUUGCGACUAUAUGGAACACGAU
rnacentral:lncRNA from 1 species